rnacentral:rRNA from 1 species
GUGAGGAAUUUUCCGCAAUGGGCGAAAGCCUGACGGAGCAAUGCCGCGUGAAGGAUGAAGGCCUAUGGGUUGUAAACUUCUUUUCUCAGAAAAGAAUUAUGACGGUAUCUGAGGAAUAAGCAUCGGCUAACUCUGUGCCAGCAGCCGCGGUAAGACAGAGGAUGCAAGCGUUAUCCGGAAUGAUUGGGCGUAAAGCGUCUGUAGGUUGUUUAAAAAGUAUUCUGUCAAAGAUUAGGGCUUAACCCUAGAUAGGCAGAAUAAACUUUUAAGCUAGAGUUUGGUAGAGGCAGAGGGAAUUCCCGGUGGAGCGGUGAAAUGCGUAGAUAUCGGGAGGAACACCAAAGGCGAAGGCACUCUGCUGGGCCAAUACUAACACUGAGAGACGAAAGCGAGGGGAGCAAAUGGGAUUAGAAACCCGGUAGUCC